UCCGUAGGUGAACCUGCGGAAGGAUCAUUAACGAGUUAGGGUUCCUUUAAGGGCCCGACCUCCCAACCCUUUGUCUACCGAACCUAUUUUAUGAAAACGCUCUCGGCGGGUUCGCGCCCGCCGAUGGCGAAUUCUUAAACUCUUUAACCAGUUAAAUCUUAACUAUUAAAAACUUUCAACAACGGAUCUCUUGGUUCUGGCAUCGAUGAAGAACGCAGCGAAAUGCGAUAAGUAAUGCGAAUUGCAGAAUCCGUGAGUCAUCGAAUCUUUGAACGCACAUUGCGCCCUUUGGUAUUCCGAAGGGCAUGCCUGUUCGAGCGUCAUUAUCACCCCUCAAGCCCGGCUUGGUGUUGGACGUCUAGCCAGUCUCUCAGGAGCUGGCUCGCCCCAAAGAUAAUGACGGUGGUCUGUGAAGUCACCAGUACGACGAGCCCCUGGGCAUGUACUGUUCUCGAGUUCCAGCGCCGGUCUCGCUCACGACGUGAGCACUUUUUUCUGAAAGGUUGACCUCGGAUCAGGUAGGGAUACCCGGCUGAACUUAAGGCAUAUCAAUAAGGCGGGAGGGGAAGGUCGACUGGCCAAGGGCACACAGGGGGGGAUA
rnacentral:rRNA from 1 species